rnacentral:lncRNA from 1 species
GGGUUUAUAACAUUAAAAAGUAAAUGUAACAACUUUGACCACCUGGAAGGGCAUUCUCAUGACCAAAAAUCUUUUUAGGGGUCAUGGUAAAAAAAAUAACUUUUUACGGGCAAAUUUAAGCACAUCAAAAGUUAGAGGUAAAUAUGAGAGUGGGCGCAAAUUAGGGGCAUAAAUGUAAAUGUACCAAAAAAUUGAUGUUAACUAGAUUUCUAGGUUUAUCUUCAGGCAAGAUUUCUUAUUUCAGAAAUUGACAGAAGCCCUUGUAUACACUAGAAGAAGCCAAGCAUCGAGACAAGCCUAAAAAAUGAAUUAUAUGAAGCAAAAUUGAAUCGACAACAUAUUAUGCUCGUCGAUAAUCGAUGUUAUUACAAUGACAUAUAAAGAG